GAAAAACCCAAACUAAUUUUUUUUAAAAGUGCAAUCUACUGAUACGGGAAUCGGAUACCAGAACAGAACAGUUCCAGAUAAACAGAACAACUAGUUCACAAAGAGUCGAUGAGAAAAGAUUUCAAGUGCUUGAGAAACUCUUUGGAUUUCUCCAAAUUAACAGCAUGUCCUGCCUUUUUAAUCACCACCAUCUCUGCAUUAUCUCCUAUAUAUCUGUUCCAUAAUAGUUUUUUUUUCUUGAUAUAAUAUUGGUAAAUAUACAUGGCUGUUUCACUGAAAAGAACAAUAAUCCAAGGGUUGUUUACCUUUUCAAUCUGUAACCAAGUUCUAGUGGAAAUAUUUGAUCUUCUUCUCCCCA